rnacentral:ncRNA from 1 species
GAAGGAAGGCCCUUCGGAGUCGGCUUGCAGGAGCAGGCUCCAAACCGCCACAAGCUGCGUGGGUAAAGAGCCCUCGUGGUGAGCGUUGUUGGAAAAGGCAGGGAUCUACUCUGUCAGGU